UAACCUGGAUCCAACAAACAUAUGCAACAAAAAAUAUUUGAUAACCAUGGUUUAGAAUUCAUUUUGGAAAGUGUACCAUCCAUAGAUCGUCUUCUCCGCCAAGAUCAUUGAUGAGUUAACGUCGAUUUGCUUUAGUUUCUCCCUCACCCUAUGCGGAUCAUCAGCUAUCUUUCUCUCCCUUUUUUAAGCUAAGUGUCUAAACUUGUAAUUACCUACUUCCCUUUUCUAGUUCAAGGGGUUGAGUUUCUUAAGAAACUAAUACCACUAUUUGUACUAAAAAUUGAGUCCAGUAACUAAAGUUUGACAACAUUGAUUUCGUAAAAGGUGUGUCUAAUCCACUCUUUGGUAUUUUACAUAUUUGGCACGGCUAGUGUUUGAGCAUUCUCUACUUUCUCACACAUUUCCUUUCUCUCUCUAUUAUGAUACUACAUAUUAUUUUAGCGAAAAAUUGAUGAAUAAGGUGAAAUCAUGAAGCUUAAAAUUGAACAUUUACUUGAAGAGUAUAUUCCUAUUGCAUCAAUUGAACAACGGCAUGUCAAGUUUUGCAUCUAAUUUCAUCUUCUUUCCCUAUUUCCUUUAUUUUUUUUUAGUUUUUAAAUCGUUUAAAUGUUUGAUUUUAUUCUAAUUACAUUUUGUAUGUUUUGAUUUUCUUAAAACCACUGUUGCAUUGUAUGUUCCUAGUUUUGAUUUUUGUUCCUCCUUUUGCGUUGCAUGUUCGAAGAUUUUAUUUUUUUAAAGCCAUUCUAAUUUAAUUCCUUGUUUGAGGUGUGAUUUGUUUGAUUUUUUACAUAUAAUAUGUGUCCGGUAAGUAUCCUAAUGUUUGCAUGUCGGUUGAGAUAGUUGAAUUUGAGGUAUGGAAUAAAAAUAGAAGUAGGUAAAUAGAAAUAUUGUGAUUUGGUUUGUCAUUUCUGGGUUACUAUUGUUAUUAUUUUUGAAAAAUUGAGGAAGAUCCAUCAAAUCUAACAACAUUUUGAUCAAACAGUAUGUUUGUGUAAUAAAUUUAGAAUCUAAUUAGUAGUACUUGAAUUCGUUGUUUAAAAUUUAGAACUCAUAAAUUUGAAAUCUCGACUCCAUCCCGAACUCUGAACCCAUAGAAAUUGGCAUAAUUGGUGCCAAUAGAAGUCUGUUGUUCAUAGCUCUUCACUGCUUUAGUGUUUGAUGUUUCAUUUGUAAUCUAGUGUAUGUUGUGUAUAGUUAGAUAAAUACAGAUAGCACAAUGUUCAAUUAGAAAGAUGCCAAACAAAUUGGGUUCUUGAAUAGCAAUAGACAUUUGGAAUCUUUUUAAGGUAUGUAUUUAGUGGAUACGAAUCAGAUCAUAUGGGUGGAGCCCUCAAUUAUUGUUGUUGCUAGAUAUGGAUAUUGGUGUUGUUACCUUGAAUUGACUUUAAUUAUUAUUUAUGAAAGUAGUUAAGACGAUGUUAUAUAAUAUUUUAUUGUGUGAGGUUUAAGGGAAAUGUUAUAUGGUGUUAGAGGAGCCUUUUCUAGUAUCAAUGUUUAUUAACCAAGAGAAAGUUUUAUCUGUUUUCUCAUUUCAUGUUAGCUCUUUUUGUGGGUUGUCUUUGUAGUGUCAUUGCUCUUUAAAACAUUUCUUAUUUGUACAGUUUUACAUGAUGAUAAGAAAAACAAUAAAAAGUCACAAGCUAGGAGACAUCAACCAAACAUACAUCUUUCACUUAUUUGUAUAGUAUCACACAUUGAUAAGAAAAACAAUAAAAAAUCACAAGCUAGGAGACAUUUGCCGAACAUACAACUUUUUGCAUAUUUUUAUAGCAUGAAAUGUUGAUAAGAAAAAUAAUAAAAUGUUACAAGCUAGGAGACAUCUGCCAAACAUACAUCUUUCAAUGUUGAUAAGUUUCUUUGUUGUUUGAUCUCUCAGACUUUGCAAGUGCAUCCUCUAUGGGGCUUAUAACAUCUUUGUGGGGAUCAGAUUUAGGAUUGGUUUGUCAUAUGAUGGAAUAAGCUGAUAUUUUUUAUAUCAGAUGUCGAUUUAUGUAGUCAGUAGCAUUUCUACUAUUUUUUAUUCAUAUUGUGUUUUGUACUUAAUGAUAGCUAAUUCAAUUGAUUGUCAUUCUCUAUGUAGGAAUGAAAAACUAUGAUUCCAUCGAAAGUCCUAAAUUUUUUAAGCACUUUGCGAUCAACAUUUUCCUUUUUGGAGGCUCUUCAUAUCCCUACAAUUGCUGCUAUUAAGUGUAUAGCAUUGGGUGGGGGACUUGAAAUGGCAAUGUCUUGUGAUAUCCGGAUAUGUGGUGAAGAUGCAGUAUUGGGUUUACCUAAAAUAGGACUUGCUAUAAUACCAGGGAUGGCAACAAAGCCAGCGUCAGACAAUGCAAAGCUACUCACUGUGUAGAAGCGCAAACCUAUUAACCAGUUGCAUUUUGCUAGGUAGAAUUGCUUCCAGAGUCACCAUUUCAAUCAUAGACUCUUUCAUCUCCCUUCUAUAUUUUCACUUCGUCGGGUUUCCAUGUCAAAGUUGCAUUGAGUUGAAGAAUUUGCAGUUGCAGGUAUAAGCGUUGCUGAACAUGAGCAGCAGAAUUUCACCUAAUGGGGUGGCUAAACAAAAUUUUCAAAGGUUCUAAUCAUAAAGUUUUGGAAGGACAAUAUGACUAGAUAUGUGAAGGACAAAUAGAGGGAGAUGAUCUAUCUACCACAGAGGUAAGUGUGACAUUAAAAUAAUGUGAAAUGAGCUCAUCAUCCGGAUAAACUGGCAUCCUUUCCUAUUUAUUUACUAAGGAAAUUCCUAAAAAAGCGGACAUGCCUUUAAAUUGUUUUUUUUAUUUGUAAUAUUGAUGAGAAAAUUCAAAAAUUUGGACGACUAAAACUUGGCAAGCGUAAGGACUUUUAAUUAUCAUAUUAAUAGGUAAUGUUUUAUGGUUGGUGAUCAAUAGAUUAAUAUAGGAAGGUCGUGUCAAUAUCAAGUAGAUAUUGUUCUUAUUGUGUUGUUCAUGGCAAAGGGCAUUAAUUCUACUUUAUUCUAUAACUGAGAAACUACUGUUAAUGGAUUGUGAUCAUGGAAUGACACCUUAAUCUGGUUCAAGCUUUGCAAAACAAAUCGGUGGCCAGGUAAAAGAAUGUCACUAUACUUUUUCCAACAAUAUUUCACUACCUUCUUAAUUCAAUUCUGAAGUAUAGCAUCAUGAUUUGUAUAUUAGUGUGUUGUUUCUGUUCCUAUCUGUUUAUCGUGUUGUUAUAUAGUUUUUGCUCUAUUUCUUUGAGUGGAAAGUUGGUGAUCCUUUUAUAUAGUUAGAAAAAUGGGGAUUGAUAGAGAGAUAGAGUUUGUAAGAAUUUGCUUAAAGAAACAGAGAGUAAGGGGAUAAAAGGGAUAAUAGUUGAGAUGUCAAUUUUCAAGCUAUCUGGUAAGUAUAGUUUCUUGAAAGUUGGAAAUAUUAUGUUGGAUAUACCAGGUAUUGUACCAGUACUGGUGUACUGGAAUAUUGUAUUAUGUUGGGCCCCCUUCAGGGGAGCAGUGUAAAAAUCACAAAUUUGGAUAAUCUCUUGUCCUUUAAGGUAUUAGUAGUGAGAUAAUCAGCUGCUUAAGUUUUGAAAUGAAAAUGUUGUUUGAAAUAUAUCUUUGCUAGUAAUAAUGCCUAUCACAUAUUCUACCAUCCUGUGUAUCAAUUCUCAGCAAGUGAUGCAAAGAGAAUGAGACAUUUAAGUGAAGCAGACUAUGAUUAUGAAAAUGAUCCAGAUCUAAUGUAGGUUGAUAAAUUUGGAAUGAUGACAUUGAUCAUUUUUGAAAUGUACAAAUAUAUUUAGCAACCUAGAAUUGUACUUGUUUAGUAUUGAGUGGUCAUUAUGUUGUAGAUAUUUUCUAAACUUACACGAGUUACUGAUUUGCUAUAGUUGAGAUUUGGCAAGAAUCAGAAGGAAAAACUUAAGUUGUGUGGGCCUCGAAGACAGUAUUAGAACCAGUAUUUUGUUCAUCAUGCAUAAAAGUGUAGCUUAACUUCAUAACUAAUAGUAAGAUUCACUGUAUCCCUCUCUUUGUAAUUGACUCUAUGAACCUUACAUAUACAUUUGAUUCUCAAACAUAAUUGCAUAUUAGUAAAUAUGUAAGAAUGGACCUGUGAGGAGGCAGACCAUUUAGUGUUAGAGUAUGUAAGUAAUCUUACUGAUAGUAGUUAUUUGUAUCAUCCUCUGUAGGUCGAAACUAAGAAACGUUCUAGUUUCACCAGGAAAUCUGGAAAUUGACAUUUUAUUUAGUUGGUCGACAUACUCAUUUCUGCUAGCCAGGAUAGUCCGUUCAGUCAUGUAUUUUACAGAACUUACAUUUUCAGGCAAUGAUGGAAAUAUUUUCUCUAUUAAGGCAUCUGAACCAGUGAUAUCACUCUUAGUUUAAAUAACUAAUUGUCUUGGAAGUAGUACCAAAUUAUCUCUUAUUGUAGGCUCCUCACCAUUACCUAUGCGUAGUAAGAAUUCACUGAAUGAUGCAUCUGUUCUGGCCCUCAUAUUUCUUGUUAGUUUAAUCUUUUCCAUUCGAUUCCACAAGUACGACUUUACCAAACUUGCAUUUACCGUUUUAGUCCUUGUAGAUUUUUGAAUUACUGGCAGUACCUGACGAAAAUCACCUCCGAAAACCAUUACUUUUCCACCAAAGGGUUCAUCAAUGUCCAAUAUAUCUCUGAAGCUCCUAUCAAUCGUUACAAUUGUCCAACGGCUAUCCAUAGGUGCUUCGUCCCAAAUAAUCAACUUGGAUUUUUUAAUCAAUUUAGCUCCACCACUUUGCUUUGACAUACGUGUUACUAUUGUACCAUUUGUCUGAAGUGGUAUCUCAAAUCUAGAAUGAGCCGUAUGAACUCCCGAUAAAAGAGCUGCUGCUACACCACUUGUUGUCGUUGCUAAUGCUAUCAUGCCCCUAGAUCUGAUAUUUGCAAGUAAUGCACAAUAUAGGAAUGUUUUUUAGGUCCCUCCGGGUCCAUCGACAAAGAAUAAUCCUGAUUGGCUAGAUUCUAACCUUUACAAUAUAAUCUUGAAUGCUUGCUCUUGUUCAGGAUUUAGCUUUUUUUGUGCAUCCAAAUCUUAUGAAGGCACUAUUAUAGACUCUUCUUCCAGUAUUUCUAUGCAUUCUGAUAUAAUUCUAUCAUCUACACUCCGUUCAAGUUCAGGUAUGUCAUAAUUUUGAAUUCUCUUUCCCAUGCUCUCUAAAAAAUGAUUUAUGCUUUUCAGUGUGCAUUGAAGUUGAGUCGUAGGAGAAUUUUCAUGUAUUCUCUUAAAAUCUUCUGACAUGUCAUCAUAAUAUGUAUCCCAGAGCUUUCUAACAUCCUUCGGAUUACAAUGAACCAUAUUUUUGCAAAUAAAUUUCUAAGAGCCGAUGGCAUUUUGAAGACGACCGCUUCACGUAAGCAUUCAGAAAUUCUAUUAUCCUAAUCGAGUAAACCUCUUUCUUUUGCAGCUUCUUUGAAUGUGUCACACAACCUUCCAUUAACAGUUAGCAAGUAUUAAAAUAAAGUUGGUCCUCGUACGUGAUUCAAUAAUAAUCUCAAAUAAUACCUUUCUCCUUCUACUAGGUUAGCUGUAAAUUAAAGAACAAAGAACAAAUAAAUGAUAUUUGAACGUUUACAAAUAUUAAGAGUGGUCAUGUUGAAUUUCCUACCAAUAGCAAUUCGACCAAUUACUAAUCUUGUUUUUCUUUGCGUCCAAAGCUUACCUUGAGCAUUUCAAACAUAAUACUCUGGAAAUUCCUUGUAUAUGUAUUUGCACGCUUCAUUGUCUAUUGAACAUUUGUGAAAAUACUCAGUAAGCAUGGUUUUUGAGGCAUAUUCUCAGGAAACAACAUUUUUCAAAUUUUGGUUACUCCAAUAGCACACUACAAUGUGAAUAGACAAUAUUAAAAAGAUUAACAGAAUAUUUCAUACAAAAAAACUUUAUGUAUUUCUUUUCAUGAUAAAUUCACAGCUUAAAACAGAUUAUUACAAUCUAAAUUUUAUGACUUUUUUAUCUGAAGGGUAAAGAUGUAGAAUUCAGAUGGCUUAAGGAAGCCUAAUUGUUUACCUGUUUGUUUAUUUGGAAGAUGUAGUUGAAGGAUAAUGACCUGAGGCUGCAUUUCACUAAGAUCAAAUUCAUAAAUUCUCCAUAGCGCUUCUGGUGCAGCAACCCAACGUGCAUAUUGAAAACUCUUAAUUUCAUCAACGGCUUUUUCUCCAUCAUCUGAUUCAACAUAAACAGUGCACCUAUUAUGUCCUUUAUAUAUAUACUUGUAAAGAUACUUUAUUUCUUUUACCCUUGCAAAAGACUCAACAGUGAAAUGACAAUUAUAUCUACUUAGUAAAUAAGAAUUAUAAAGAACAACCCAUUGAUUAUUCAUUGUCUUGUCUCGAACUUCCUCUUUUUUUCCAUCAUUUCGCCUCUUGUAAAUAGGAUAACUAUCCUUUCCUUGUAUUUAUUUAUUAUUAAAUGGUUGAGGAUAAUGACUCUUUCACUGACCAUCCCUAAUGCAUAAAUUUGUUGGAUAUUUUUUUCCACACGGGCCAUGCAUCAUAUUUUUGAUAACCAAGUCAUGCAAAAUUGAAAAUUUUGCUUGGUCGGGAAGUUUAGUAGAAAUAAACAUGUCAUAAUCAUCUGGUGAUGUCAAAUUGUAUCCUUGUUCUAGUAUUAACAAAAGGUGAAUGUGUGGUAGUCCUCUUUUCUGGAAUUCAAUGACAUAAGCAUAUGCUACAACAGGCCCAAAUAUUCUUUUCUAGAAGAUUUGAUCUUUUAAAUCUUGUAACUUUGAUCUGAAAACUCUAGUCACCAAGUCAGGUCUGUCUUGAGCAAGUUGUCCUUCUAUCAAAUUUUCUUGAAUCUCUGGCCAAUCUGGAUUACAUGUCAUUGUGAUAAACAAAUCUGGUUUCCCAAAAUAUUGAACCAAAGCCAUUGCAUCCGUAUGUCUACGACGCAUGUCCCUAGGACCUCCGAUAAAUGAUGCAGGAAGUAUUAUUCUUUGACCAACUUUCGAGCCUCUGCUUUCUCCAGCCAUAAUACUAUCAACUAUGCCUUGCAAAAGUACUCUCUACAAGAGACACAAUUUUCAGCUCCACGUCGUACACCUGCAAAAUAUUUUUAAAUAUAUUGAUAUGAGAGUUGUAAGUACACAAUUCUAAGAAAUUUUGUUUCAAAAAUUUACCUUGUUCCUCGUUGUCAAACACCUCAUCAACGGACAUAAAUGUAGGGUUAUUUCGGUUGAGGCCUAGAACUUUAGUUCCAUGCUUGCCUUUACUUGUUUUAUGUUGUUUUCGUAUUCCUUGGUGCCAGCCUAGUUCACCACUUGGAAAAAGAAAAGGAUAAUGGAGCGGGUCAUAACAUCCGUAAUAAUGUUUAACUCUAUGAAUAUUACCUGAAUGUUCAUGAAUAAUAAUCUCCCGAUCAAAUGGUACAUUGGGGUUAUUUUCGUCUAUCCAAAUUGCAGCAACUUGAUCUACUGAUGGUUUAUUGUACACACGUUGAUCUAGUUUAGCAGUGGAAGCAAUUCGAAUUCUAAAUCCUUAAUGUUUGAAUGAUCCUUUAGUUGGUGAAACAAUUGUGCAUAAGGAUUGCCAUCCAUUAUUUGUUUAAUUAUUGCGACAACUUCCUCAGAUAAAUUGGCUUCUUUGACUUUUGAAAUCCUAUUGCGAGAUUCAUUUUCUGUGUCAAAAAAGUACAUCUAAAAAUAGCAUGGAUUAUUAUCAUGGGGUAGUAAUGAGGGGAGAUCAUGAUAUAUUUGACCCUUUGCUCGAAAUGUAUAAACUCCUUUUCGCAAAGAUGCCAGAUCAUUGUCAAGUUUAACACCAAAAGACAUAAAUCCAAAUAUGUUGUUAUAUGCUCUAAUAUGUCUAUGAAAUUCUUCUGCUACUUCAGAUUUAGAGAAGAUUAAAUUAUAUAAUUGAGUUGGAACUGCAGUAUUUGCAAGUUUUAUUGAUCCAUUGUCGCAACAAAAUGUUAGAGUCUCAUGUUGAAAUCUCAUAGCAUGAGAAUUAGUGCAUUCAGGAACAUUUUCCAACUUGAAUACACGAUAUUGAUGGUAUGUAGUCAAUUUCACCUAAAUUUGUUGAGUAAAAUCUUAGAAAUCUUAGUAAUAAUAAAGUGAGCACAAAUAAAAUGUAAGUAACUUAAAUUAAUAAAAUAGAAUUGCAUUACCUUCAAUUUCACACCUUUGCGAUAGAGCCUUUAGGAACCAAUAUAUUUUGCAUCUUUUUUUUGGUCUUGUUUCUUCAAUAUCGACAUCUUCUAUGGACUCAAUCCUUUUAUUACCUUUAAAAAGAAGUAAAUAGUAUAUUCAGUUUGAUUCAAAAUUUGAGGAAUAUAAUAAAUAUGUUAUAAUUUUGCAUUUUGAAGAUCUGCAAUGACAAAAUUGAAGCGACUCGUUUUGAUUAGUGUGAGAGUGAUAAAUGAGCUAGGAGCAGCGCAUCCAAAGUUAGCAGCAUUCUUAGUGUUUGUGGUGACAUCAAUUUCAUUUGUGAUAGCUGUGGUGUAAGCUAUAAUCGUGUUAUGUUUGCGUAAUGUUAUUAGCUAUGCAUUCACCAAGGGUGAAACUGUGGCCAAUGCAGUGUCUGAUUUGUGUCCAUUUUUAGCUUUCACCCUCAUUCUUAAUGGCAUUCAACUAGUCUUGUCUAGUAAUAUAUAUCUCCUCCUUAAUCUCUUUAUUUAUAUUAUAAUAUACAGGGUAUAUACGCUGACAAGGUAAAGUUUUUAUACUAUCUAUGAAAUAUAACAUGUUGUAGCAAGUUGUCGUAAUCUUUAUGUAACUGCACUUACUUCAAAAAGUGGAUAGGAACAUCUUGUUAGUACCAUGAAAGACCAGAUCUUGUAAUUAUUGGAAGGAAUCAAAGACAGAGUUGCAAACUUUUAAAACUCUAAACAUUCCUAGUCUAAUUUUUUUAAAAAUACUUUUAAAACUUUAAGGUACCCAAAUAAACUACUCCCAUGCAUGUCCGAAUCCUACCCAACGUACAUUUACUUGUUAAAUUUUGUGUGACUUAGACCUACCUCUGUGGUUCAAUUUGGAUAUAUAUUGAUAAUAAUGUCGAUACUUCCAUUAAUCCAUGUAAUCCUCAUUCUUUAAAGAUGGAUAGAAGAUCCAAUAGAUUUAUCGUUUCAGUUUCAUUCUGAUAAUCCAAGUUAUAAUGAGCUUUAACACUAUUCAAAUCUUGAAAAUCAGUGUGCAUUUACCUUCUCUGCUUUAACUUUUAUUGGUAUAAUAAAUACAUUUUUACUUUUUGUUUUAGCUAAUUAGAUUGAUAAUACUCCUUUUAGUCUAUUGUUGGGUAUAUUGGUUCAAUUUUUCUGGAGUUGACAUCAGGUAAAAUGUACUAAGUAUGAACUGAAAGUAAUACGAAAGUUGUUUUGUAGCACAAGACAUCUCAGAAUAAGUAAAAUUUUCUUUCAAUGGCCAGUCAACCUCGGUUACAGGUCUUAGCUGCUAGCAAGAAUAAAAUCUCUGCACUAAAAGGAUUUCCUUAUUUACCUUCUUUGAGUCUACCUCACAAAACACGGCAGCAUCUGAUAAUCAAGUUGAAGUCCCUUGCAUCUCUAUUCCACUGUCCUCUUCUCCUGCAAUAUGUUCUCCAAGAAGAACAUCUAGGAUGUCCAGGCAACCUAUUUGGCUAAAGGACUAUGCUACUUCUAAGGAUGGAAAGAACUGCAGAUAGUCCCUGGAAAACUACCUCUUCUAUGAUAAAACUACAAGGUCAUAUCAUAGCUACUUAAGCAAAUUCUCCACCUUGGUUUAACCACAUACUUCUAGGCAAGCUGCAGUAGAUUCAAGACGGGCCGAGGACAUAAAGCUAUAGAUUCAAGCACUUGAAGAAAACAAGACCUGGAGGUGGUGCCUUUACCGCUCGAAAAGAAUACUGUGGGAUCCACGUGGGUCUAUAAGAUCAAGUAUCAACCUAAUAAAGAGGUAUAUAGAUUCAAAGAUAGAUUGGUAGCAAAAGUUUAUAGUCAACAAGAAAGUUUGGAUUAUUAUGAUACCUUUUCUCAUGGGUCUAAGAUGGUUACAGUUAGAGGUGUAAUUGUUGUAGUAGCUUCAAAAGGUUAAUUUCUAUAUCAGAUAGAUGUCUACAAUGCUUUCUUACAAGGUGAUCUAGAUGAAGAGGUUUACAUGGAGAUGCUAGAAGGUUUCAAAAAACAAAGCGACACAAGAGUAUGCAGAUUGUUGAAAUCCUUAUAUUCUUAAACAGGCUUCCAGACAAUGGAACCUGAAACUUACUAAUGCUUUGGUAAAUGCUGGUUUUGUUCAGAGUGUACAUGACUAUUCCUUGUUUACAUUAAAGAAACAGAAAGACAUAGUGAUAAUUUUAGUCUAUGUUGAUGACUUACUCAUCAUAGGUAGCAGUUCCUCAUUGAUAUCUGAUGCUAAGGAGGUUUUACACAAGAAAUUUAAGUUGAAGGACUUAAGAGAGCGUAAGUAGUGCUAAGCCUGCUUUCACUCUAUGGGGCAUAAUCUCAAAUUGACUACGCUGGAACAUGAUCAUGCAAAUGGUUGUCUUGAAGAUGCAAUUUAGACCGAUAUUACCUCUUAUAAGAGGUUUGUUGGAAAAUUAAUGUAUGCUACUAUCACCAAACCUGAUAUUAGUUUUGUUGUUCAAACUCUUUGUCGGUUCAUGUAAAAUCCUAAAAGAUAUCAUUAGGAGGCUACUACUAGAGUGGUUAGAUACCUUAAGGGUACUAUUGGUCAAGGCAUUUGGUUAAAGGCUCAACCUGCUGCGACUCUUUUUUAUUGGUGUGAUUCAAAUUGGGCAGCCUGUCUUAAUACUAGGACAUCUGUUACUGGCUAUAUAGUGAACUUUGUAGAUUCCUUGGUCUCAUAGAAGUCCAAGAAGCAGUAGACAAUGUCCAAAAGCACAGCUGAAGCUGUGUACAGAAGCAUGGCUUCAGUGAUUGUAGAGGUGACUUGGUUGGUUGGUCUGUUCAAGGACUUGGAUGUACCUCUCACUAAACCUAUCAAGGUAAUCAGUGAUAGAAGAUCAGUAAUUCAACUGGCUGUAAUCCCUGUGUUUCAUGAGAGAACUAAACAUAUAGAAACUGAUUGUCACUUUAUUAGAUACAAGAUCAAGUAUGGUUUGGUUGAGACUCUUUAUGUUCAAACUCAGAGGCGGAGCCAGGAUUUCAACAUAGAGGGUUCAAUAUUCAAAGAAAACUUAGUCAAAGGGGAUUCAACACCUACUAUAACCACAUAAAAAUAAUUUUAAUCAUGUAUACAUAGUAUAUUUUUCCUUCGAAGGAGGUUCGGCCGAACCCCCUAAAGGAGGCUAGCUCCGCCUCUGUUCAAACUCAUGAUCAAGUGUCUGAUUUACUUAAUAAUUUUCUGUCAACCUCUACAUUUGCAUUUGAUGGGUAAGCUUGGAUGCUUAAUAUCCUGCACCCUUCAUCUUGAGGGGGAGUAUUGCAAGCUCAAGAUAGACGAGGAAGUAGUUUUUUACUGUUCCAUUCAAAUAAAACAAUUUUUACUAUUCAUUCAUAGUUUCUAUUUUUACUAUGCAAGUGAGUGCAAGUGGGAGUUAGUUAGUUAGUUAAAGUGAGAGCUGAUGCUAAGCUGUAUAGUUGAGUUUCUUAUAAGAUUGUCUAUAAAUAGUGAGGUGUAUAGAUAUUUUGUACAGUUUUCAAUCAGAAAAUGCAAUGAAACAGUUCUUUUU